UUUUGGUAUUUUGCAAAUAAGAUUCGUUAGUUCUUAGAAAAAGAAUAAUGUUUUGGAUGGACACCAUCAUUAACUUUUCAAUUGUUUUUUUGUGAUAGAUUUUCGUACGAUACCCUUUUUUCCUUAUGAUUUCCAAUCCUUCAACUAUUAUAUAACAGUUAUCAUGAACAAUUAUGAUGCAGCAUUUCUUCAUCACAUGUUUUAGAAAAAAAGUAUAAACCUUUUCGUUCGAAGUUACCUUUAUGUUAGAUGCAAACUUAAGUUGUGUGAUUAUUUAGUUAUAGAACUUGAUGUUUUCAUUUUUAAACUGUAGCAAGGAGGGGUAAAAUGAUGAAGAAACAGUCCACUUUUGUUUUUCAGCGUACAUCUCAUCCGUGGAGCAAAAACAGGAUUCUUAUUUGGAUGCUUUGUUUCAUAAGGCAAUUUAAAGGCUCUUUAGCUAAGUCAGAUUACAUGGCAUUACGUUUGGGCUUCAUCAGUAAUCACAAAUUGCCCCUUUCUUAUGAUUUCCAUAAAUACAUGGUGCGGAGCAUGGAAGAUGAGUUUCAUGGGAGUGUUGGCAUCAGCUGGCCUCUUUGGGUGUACGGCAUAUUGUGCAUUUUUGUAAAUAUUCAUGGAAUCAAUAUCUACUUUUGGUUGUCCUUUGUUCCUGCCAUUCUGGUCAUGCUGGUGGGCACCAAGCUUCAACAUGUUGUUGUGCAAUUAGCUCUGGAGGUUGUUGAGGCAACUGGUCCAUUUGUUGGUACACAACUGAAGCCACGUGACGAUCUUUUUUGGUUUGGAAAACCAGAACUCCUUUUGUGGUUGAUACAAUUCAUAUCGUUUCAGAAUGCUUUUGAGAUGGCAGCAUUUAUUUGGUCCCUGUGGGAACUGAGUGCACAAUCCUGUUUCAUGAAGAACUAUUACAUGGUAGUUCUUCGCUUGGUCUCUGGGAUUAACUAAACUGCCUAGUGAAGUUUGACGGUUUAAGACGAAAGAGGUAAGUGGAUCUUAAACUCAGUAUUUUUAAAUGAUCAUGUUUUUCAUGCAUAAAAUCUGCUUGUGGAGAUAUCAUGCUUUUCUUAAAAUUAUGGAUCAGCAUAUGUGUUAUGAAAAUUAUGCUUUAUUAUAAAAAAUAGUUUCAUGAAUGUUUUAACGAAAAUAGCUUUGUUAUGAAAUAUGAGUCUGAUCAUGGCAUUUAGUGUAUUUCACUUAUUUAUGUGUAUGUUUGAAAAAAAAGAUAUAAGUUUUCAAAGGCUCUGAGAUUGCUAUGAUCACCUUUAGAAAUAGGAGUCAAUCGACACCCUAAAGCUAGCAUCUAACGAAAAUGGCCCUCUGCCAACGGGUUAAAGUUGGUAACGAAUAUGAACUAUGAAAUCUUGUCAAUUACGAAGAUGGCCCCGUUAUGGGUUAUAGUGACCAUAGCACGAAUAUCUGUGAGCGAUAUUUUGAUCCAUGAUAUGAUUACAUGAAAUGAAGAAUGAUUUACGAAUUUAAUUUCAAACUUGGCACUAUGUUUAUGAAAGAUGGAUGAUUUGUUCAUGCUUGAUUUUUGCUUUAUGACCUGUUUUUAAUAUACUGUAUUAUGAAAUGCUUAUUUUGGAAUAUCUGUUAUUUUUCUUAAACUAUGCAUUGGUAUGAAAAUCUUAUGCUUGAACCAGUAAGGUAGUGAAAGGUUUACUUAUUGAGUUGUGCCGCUCAUAUACCUCUAUUUUUAUCUCUCUCCAGGCAAAUAGGAUCAGUAGGGAUGAAGGUUGGUCCAGGCUUAGAGUUCGCACUAGCAAGCUUGGUGAUUUUGUAGAAGAUUUUAUUAUCGUCUACAAAUUUGUAGCUAAUGAUCUUCUAAAUGUUCAGGGUGAUUGGUUUGGUAUUGAUGUUGUAUUUAGACGCUCUAAACCGAUUUUGAUUUUAUUUAAUGGAUGAUGAAAUUGGAUAUUUAAUUAUUAUAUUUUUUUGUGAUGGAAUUUGAAAGCUAAAAGUAAUGUUGACUUCGUGUUCUCGUGGGCUGUACCCCUCGGUAGCACGACCAUGUCAUGUUUAGGAAUUGGGGCGUGACAGAUAUGGUAUUAGAGCGAACUUGGCUUAUAGUUUAUGUGGACUAGGGAACACUGCAGCACGAGUUCAUACAGGCUAACCAGGAGCCGCUCGUGGUGCUUGUGAUUAGACCUAAAUGGAUUUGAACCCUUAGCCUGAUGAGGACGUCAGGGCUUGAAUGGGAGAAUUAUGUGAGAAUCGUGCGAGCGUGUGUUUAAUCCCACAUCGGUUAUUCGCCAAGGAGAUCUUGGAUACCUAUACAAGACUAAGAAGCCCAAAAAAUAUCUUUUGAUUAGCCUUUUUGGGUGAGGUCCUGGGUUGUUACAAAUGGUAUCAGAGCGGACCCGAUCCAUAAUCUAUGUCGACUAGGAGACACUGCAGCAUAGAUCCAUUGGGGCUGACCAUAGACCGAUCAUGGUGUUUAUGAUUAGAUUUGAAUGAAUUUAAAUUUUUAGCCUGACGAGGAUGUCAAGGCUUGAACGAGAGAGUAUGUCAGGACUCGUGCGGGCAUUUGUUUUGUCCUACAUUGAUUAUUCGCUGGGUAGAUCUUGGGUACUUAUACAGGAUCAAGAAAUUUAAAUAAUACCUUCCGGUUAGCCAUUUUGGGUGAGGUCCUGAGUUGUUACAAAUAGUAUCAGAGCGAACUCGGCUCAUAGCCUAUGUGAACUAGGGGACACUACAGCACGAGUUCAUAGAGACUGACCACGGGCCGAUCGUGGUGCCUGUGAUUAGAUUUGAACCUUUAGUCUGACGAGGAUGUCAGAGCUUGAACGGGGCAAGCAUAUGAGAAUCCGUGUGAGCAUGUCUUUAGUUCGACAUUAGUUAUUCGCCGAGGAGAUCUUGGAUACUUAUACAAGACUAAGGAACCCAAAAAAAUACCUUAUGGCUAGCCUUUUUGGGUGAGGUCCUGGGUUGUUACACCAUGCAUAUUUUAUUUUCUUUUUUCCUACAUUUUUAAACAAAAAUACAUAUUUUCUGUAAUGCUCUCUUUUUCCAAAUACUAUGGUGGUCCUUGUCAAAACCUGCCUUCAAACUAAUCAAGAACCUUUUGAUCUGUUUUAUAAGAUGUCAUGAUUCUGGCUCAUUCUAUUAUAGAAUUUGCUUUUGAUUUUUGUACGCACUUAACAUAAUACGGUGUUUUUACAAAAGUCUAUGGUAACAACCAGCUGAUCAUAAUUUUUAACAAUGAAUAUUGUUGUCAUCGUUGUCGUCAUCAUCAUAUAGUUGAUCAUAUUUAUUAAGAAUGAAUGUAGUUUCAAGUCAUACGAGCAGCACACUUGGUUAAAAUGUGUCCUUUGCUUCCUUAGUUAACAGAGUAUAGAACUUCGUGCAUGCUUUCAUACUAACCCAUCCAGUCAAACUCAUGAAUAAGCACCGGUAGAGUCCAAUACAUUUGAACUUUAGUCUAACGUGAAAGAGAAAUUUAAUGAGGAAACCCAAGGGAAUAUCAUGAUAUGAAGGCUCAGGCAACCAGAGUUUUGAAAAUCAAGAACUGGCCCAGGGCAGGAUCAACUCACACAGUAGGUUUUCAUUCUGAAAGGAAUCAAAACUGCUCAACAAAAUGACCUACAAUAAGGGAAGGAAGAGAGUGCAAUGAUGACUGAUUGUGGGGUGAUAAUAGAAAAAAAGAACUUCAACAAUGUGAUACAGUUUUCUUUUUCUUUUUAUGUAUGCAAGUUCUGGUUUAGCAGAAUUGCUUGAACAUUUGUAUGCUCCUACAUUUUGCUUUGGAAUUUCAGGCUCCUAGUCCAGUUUUGGUGCAGCUACAGCACACUGCCCUUUAAUGUGAUCAUCACUCAGAUGGGAUCCAAAUUUAAGAAAUCUUUGAUUGCGGAGAGUGUGAGAGAGUCACUUCAUAGUUGGUGCAGAAGGGUCAAAAAGAAGUCUAAACGUGAACCGGUCCUUUCACUACUUGGAACCGCUACAUCAACUUGUUCAUUGGAAUCAACCAUGGAUGAAACGGAUGACACAAUUACAGUUGGAUCUGGCAUUUUUUCUCGAAGCAGUUCCGAAGUCUCAUUGGAGGCGCUCAAUACAAUUAUGAUGGAUGAGCAGGAGGCAUGAGACAAUGCUCUUGCCUCUAGUUGGAAGGCUUCCUGAUCAUAUAUAAACCACCAUCAAACCAUUCUUCUGAUUUAUUCAAAAACAUAUUCGCACUGCAGUGCAAGAGAUGAAAGCAAGUUCGUGAUUGUUGCCACUGCUGUUCUUGAUAUGCAAUUCUUUAUGCUGGAUACAUAGUAGAGAUGUGGCGAGUCGUUAGCUUAUUCGACAGUGUUGCCUUAUGUCCUCUUCCAUGCGUAUGCACCAGCUCGCGAAAAUGGCAGUAGUUCAUCUGAGAGAACACUCUAAAUGAACUGACGCUGAGUGUGAUAAGUAACCGACUGAAAUAGCUAUGUAUAUGCUUAUUGAACAGAUUUUCCUAAUUACUUUGGAUAUGGAGAUGGCAAAAUUCUUUGCUAGGUAGCUAAAUCACUGGACUAAUGUUUGCACCUAAUUACAUUUGUUCUGUAUA